GGGUAUAAUCGUCUUAUCAUUAAUUCAGACAACCUGGAAGUGAUUGAGACCAUGUCGGCAGGUAUGGCGGCGGCAAUUUUCGAUGAUUGUUUUCACUAUGCCUGUGAUUUUGUUACGACUAGAUUCGAACAUUGUAAUAGAGAGACAAAUAAAGUAGUUCAUGAGCUCGCUAGAUUAGCUAGAUUUUCUUCUACUUCAGAUUUGUUCGAGGAGCCUCCAAAUGAAAUUGUAAUGAUCCUUACAAAUGUUGUACUGAUUAUUUCCAAUUAA
rnacentral:rRNA from 1 species